rnacentral:rRNA from 1 species
UACGUAGGGUGCAAGCGUUAAUCGGAAUUACUGGGCGUAAAGCGUGCGCAGGCGGUUGUGCAAGACAGAUGUGAAAUCCCCGGGCUCAACCUGGGAAUUGCAUUCGAGACUGCUCUGCUAGGGUGCGGAAGAGGGGAGCGGAAUUUCCGGUGUAGCGGUGAAAUGCGUAGAUAUCGGAAGGAACACCAGUGGCGAAAGCGGCUCCCUGGUCCAGCACCGACGUCAGGCACGAAAGCGUGGGGAGCAAACAGG